rnacentral:rRNA from 1 species
CCCUUAGAUGUUCUGGGCCGCACGCGCGCUACACUGACGAAGUCAGCGAGCAUGUCCUACGCCGACAGGUGCGGGGAAUCUUGUCAAACUUCGUCGUGAUGGGGAUUGAUGAUUGAAAUUCUUGAUCAUCAACGAGGAAUUCCUAGUAAGCGCAAGUCAGCAGCUUGCGUUGAUUACGUCCCUGCCCUUUGUACACACCGCCCGUCGCUACUACCGAUUGAAUGGUUUAGUGAGAUCUUCGGAUUGGCGCCACUGCGGCUCAGCAAUGGGCUCGGUGGAUGCCGAAAAGUUGAUCAAACUUGAUCAUUUAGAGGAAGUAAAAGUCGUAACA